rnacentral:misc_RNA from 1 species
UCUCCGUAGGUGAACCUGCGGAGGGAUCAUUACAGAGUUCUCGCCCUCACGGGUAGAUCUCCCACCCACUGUUAUCGUUACCGUCGUUUCUUUGGCGGGCCGCCGGGUCCCCGGCCGCCGGCGCCUAGCUGCCGGCGCGCGCCCGCCAGAGGCCUUCAAACUCUGAAUGUUAGUGUCGUCUGAGUACUAUAUAAUAGUUAAAACUUUCAACAACGGAUCUCUUGGUUCUG